rnacentral:snRNA from 1 species
GUGCUCGCUUCAGCAGCAUAUAUACUAAAAUUGGAAUAAUAUAGAGAAGAUUAGCAUGGCCCCUGGGCAAGGAUGGCACGCAAAUUCAUGAAGCAUUUCAUUUUUUU